rnacentral:rRNA from 1 species
AUUGAACGCUGGCGGCAGGCUUAACACAUGCAAGUCGAGCGGAGCGAGGGUGCUUGCACCUUAGCUUAGCGGCGGACGGGUGAGUAAUGCUUAGGAAUCUGCCUAUUAGUGGGGGACAACAUUUCGAAAGGAAUGCUAAUACCGCAUACGCCCUACGGGGGAAAGCAGGGGAUCUUCGGACCUUGCGCUAAUAGAUGAGCCUAAGUCGGAUUAGCUAGUUGGUGGGGUAAAGGCCUACCAAGGCGACGAUCUGUAGCGGGUCUGAGAGGAUGAUCCGCCACACUGGGACUGAGACACGGCCCAGACUCCUACGGGAGGCAGCAGUGGGGAAUAUUGGACAAUGGGCGGAAGCCUGAUCCAGCCAUGCCGCGUGCGUGAAGAAGGCCUUUUGGUUGUAAAGCACUUUAAGCGAGGAGGAGGCUCUUAAGGUUAAUACCCUUGAUGAGUGGACGUUACUCGCAGAAUAAGCACCGGCUAACUCUGUGCCAGCAGCCGCCGUAAUAC